UCCUCUCAUCCCCUCCACAUACAAUGUGAUUGCAGACGCACGAGAUCGCCGCCGCCGACGGAGGGGUGAUCUCGCCGCCACGGACCUCAAAGGGAAUACGCGAUUUCGCAAUGGGCCACUCCUGUCCCGGACGAGGUCCCAAGCCGCUGCUCCUCCUCUCCCGGGACGCAGCCGCCACCGCAGAACCAGGGAGACGCCGGCGACCGUCGCUGCCAUCGCGGAUCACCGGGAAGCCACCGCCUGCACAGCCACCGUCGCGCCUCGGAUAUGUCGCGGAUCACCAGGACGCGGCCGUCACGGAUCAGGAACACCACGACACCGCCGGCGGCGUCCCCUAGGAUACCGGCGACCGGCGGCGAUCUGAGACCAACGAGUCGACACUACACCCCUGAGUGAUUGCUGCACUGGCUUUUGGCUACCGAUGCAAGUUGGGAACUCAUUCAGUGAUUUGAGGGUGCAGGCAGAGAUGAUGCUGCGGAUGGGAUGGGAAGAUGUGUGUGUGCUAGCUGCCAUUGCAUGGACUUUAUUUUUCGGAUAGUUCAGCGUCUUAUUACAAAUCUGAUAGUGCUAUCUGCCACACAUACACCAUGCUACGAAUCUAUUUACAUACGACUCAGAGAAAGAAUUGCUUUGCAGGUUGCCAACAUCACGAAUUUCAUACUUAUGGAGUGGAGCCACCAAACAAUUUAUGAGGUAAAAUCACUAUAUACAUAUUGUUUUCCCACCUCUGCUUCAAGCGACAUGCAUUCGUUGCAAAGAAAUCGGCAUCACCUGCGUGAUUGCUUGUGUUUGUUUCUAGCCGGUAAGAAUCCAUCGAGUCUUCCUAUAUGUGUGCAACCUUGCCAGUGUGUGAAUCAAUCAAGGCAAGGGCAACCAACGUUAAGUACGUGCGAGUCUUGCCGGGAUCUGAUCUAUCAACUCCUUCAGCCAGCUUUGCACCAUGUGCACAUUGUCCAUGCUAGAAAAGCACUUAGUAAGUGGACGGCUCCAUUGGCCAUGUGUCAACAAUUCAAAUAUUUAUCUAUACUCAAUAGACACAUACCUUUUUAUGCAAUUCUGAAUUUAUGGAAGCAGGAUAACUGAUCAUGUGAAUUAAAUAUCUAAUCCCAUGUGUAGGUGCUAUCCAACUGUUGUGAUUAUUUAUGCACAUAUAACUUGCAGGUAGAUAACUCUAUAGUAUGAAGACUUAAAAAUACGAGUGCAUGUCAUUGGUGUUUUUGAAUCCAUCUUCCAUCACUUUUAAUACGUUUGUAUUACAUAAUACUAUUUUUUCAGCAUUUGACUGACAUAUCAAUGGUAUUUGUAAUAAGUUUCUUUCUUUAAAUUCUUUAGCAGGAAAUAUGUUGAAGCACCGAAUGUAUUCCAUUUGCAGUUAGUAUUGUCCCCAGUUCUGCUUGAUUUGAUUUUUAUUUCCUAUCAGUUUUGUGUUUUGUCAGAGAAUGGUUUUUCUUUACCUACGGUAGUCCCGGUACUCAGGUAAAUCCUUUUGCAUCAUUUCACUAUUGGUUCUGUUGUAAUUGUAUUAGAUUGGGAUUGCAACAUGUGGGCGCCAACAAACAUAAUUUCAAAAUUGCACGUUAUUUGUAUGACAUAAAACUAAAUGAGAUAUCACUCAACUCACAUGAACUUUGGAUAACAUUGUAGUUAAACAUUCAUUACUUGCAAUGCAUUAGCAACCCCAAAAUGUUAGAACUGGAUCUUGAACGCUUGUAACAAAAUUUUACCAUCCUCAAGAAUUUAAAGAGAAAGAAAGGUUUGCACUUACAUUCCUGUUAGUCCACUACCAAUUCAUAGUAUUGUUAGGAUUCCUGGGAUCCUAAAUUUUGACUAUUUAGCUGAUCCCAAGUUAUUUAUAUAGUUUUAUCCCAUUUCAUCAGAUGUUUUUGGUUGCACGUAUUAAUUUACUGAUUGUGUACUUGAAGCAAUUUACUGACUUGUGUAGUAUUAAGCUGAUCCCAUGUUAGGCUUUUAAGUUUUCCCUCAUUACACCAUUGCAUUUUAGAAUUUUGUAGCUAAAAGUUUCCAUUAAUUGGUGCCCGUAUUAGAGUGAGGAAUCGGUUAACUAAGCAUAUCGUCGCACGUAUAGAGACCUCCAGUCCAGCAUGUCAAGGCUGCUCUGCGCGGGCUCGAUUAGAGGGGUCAUGGACUUUAUUAAGAACGAGUGAGUGCCGUCCUGUAUCAAGUGCAUGCCAUGGGUUUGAUAAUAUCUAAAAGAAUCAAUUUGUACUAUUCGCUGGGGUAGCAUCACGAUGACACAGAAUUAAGGACUCGUGAUUGGGAGUGUCUAAAAAUUUAUAAACUAUUCUGAUGUUCCAUAAAUCGUUAGUUUACCAAAAAAGGAAGGAGCUACCAUCGCGGUUUGAUUGUGUUCAUCCUGGACUAAUCAUGGUCAAUUUGAUAAGGCCUCCAUUGUUCUCUGUCGAUUGAUAUGCAUGUAGUGUGUUGCUCUUUUGGUUGAUACGUGCAAGUAAUGUAUGCCGAUUGGAAGUUGAUCAGCAUGCGUGAGAUAUGAAGAGAGGGAGGCAACACAAUGGACAUCAAUCGAGUUUCAGAAAUAAAUAUUCAUAUAAUCAAAUUUCAGGAUUGUUCAUCUUCAUAGGUUAAUUCGUGAACUUUAUUUAAUAGGUUCACUUCUUACAUAGGGACAAAGUAGGUGCCACAAUCCUGAACCCCCUGUUCAUGUUGGGUCUUCAAGGAGCUUACUUAGCUUGACCUUGUGGUUUUGAUCUGGUGAAUCACAAGCUAACAAUAAUCUGAUGUAUGACUACAGUGGAUCCUUUAAAAAAUAGGAGUCCAACAACUGUUUAUAUGAUCAGCUCUGAAAUAGUAACACAACAAAUGACAACAGAUGGUAGUUUGGCAUUUAUGAUCAACUCCUAUGAAAUAGGUACAAAUCAAAUGACACGGUACUUAUCCAAAAAUGAUGAACUGAUUUCCCAUUGACAACUAUCAAGUAUUGUAGAAUUUGACGUACGUAUAUGGAUGAUGAAUUUGCGAUGAUGAGGCCUUUAGCUACUAAUCCAUUUCUCAUGAUUUUUUGUGCCUUUUAUUUGGGUUUUUCUAGAAGCCCUUAUUAUCUACUCCCUCCGUUCCAUAAUGUAGCGCAUAUAGAUUAUCUGAAAAGUCAAACUUUGACCAAGUUUGUAUAUAAAAACAUAUUCAUCUAGAAUACCAAACACAUAUCAUUAGAUGCACCACAAGAUGUACUUCAUAUUGUAUAUAUUUGGUAUUAUAGAUAUAAAUAAUUUUCUCUAUAAACUUGGUCAAAGUUUGUAAAAUUUGAAUUUUCAGAAAAUCUAUAUGCGCUACAUUAUGGAACGGAGGGAGUAUUAUUUGAAACUUUUAGGUCCGGAGAUCUCAGUUCUUCUUUUCUUUAGAUCGGGCUGCAAAGCAAGUUGCUGAUGAAGUGAAGUAGAUGAUUCAAAAUGAGAAGAAAUUCACUGUAUUUAUUUACGAUAGUGAACUUGAAUUAUUUUGGUAAACAAUUUCGUGAGCUGGCAUUACACCUAUUUUGGUAAACUAUUUCGAGAGCUGGCAUUACAUCAUCUGUUGCGGCUCUUAUUUCAUGUGCCUUCUUGAAAGAGCACAUGUAGAAGAAAAUAUGGUGAAAUAAUAAAGUUUGUAGAGCAAGACAAUGGAUUCCAUCAACUCCAAAGUCUCAAGUUCUCAUGUUUUCUGACCUCAAUAUUAACGUGAGGUGAAUGAAGAUGAUGUCAUGUCUUGUUGCAGGGUGAUUGAGGAGACAUGUCUUGUUGCAGGGUGAUUGAGGAGUAAAUGCAAAGGAACAAAGAGUAACUGAUAAGUGUGUUGUUGUUCAGAUUAGGCAUCUGCGUAGAUUUUUUUGUUGGAAUCAAGUUCAAGACAUGUCUUUUGCUGAUUGCGCCAGCGGAGCUGCAAGAGUGGUGGACAUGCAACACGGGGAGGUGAAAGAAGGGAGGAUCAGGAAGGAUGGAGGGAGGUGACAAAGCUGAGAGAAAGGAGGGAGACACCAAGGAAUGUGGCAUGGGAAGAAAGUGAAGUUGUGCCCCAAGGCUAUAGCGUGAUCGUGUAGAAUUGUUACCUUUCCAUCAAUGCUAAGGUUCAUUGUCAUUUUUAAAGUCUGGCACUUGAAGAUCCACACAAUUGUUGUCGAGGAAGAUGGUAAACUCAAUGAGGAUGAUAAUUGGGGUUAUUUUGAAGCUCGGUGUUUGGUGGACUACUCUCGCAGUAAAGAGGACAAGGCAUGCAAACAUGAGUAACUGAUAAGUUUGUGUAAUCACUUCCAUUUUUUCUAGGAACAUUGAAUAUAAUUGAUUUUGUAAAAAAGCGGCAGAGAAGACUGUACUUUUGGACCUUCAGGUGAAGCGGGAAUUAUAUCAUUGUGAUAUCAAAUAAUUGUUCAUUGGUUGUUUGAAUGAGUUGUUGACAUAUGAUUGAUGUAUGAUAAA